UAUUUUAGUUUUUAAAUAAAUUCAUAUUCAUUCUCAAUGUUUAAAAACUUUUAAAUGAUAACUUUGUUUUAUUCUUUCCAGAGAGUCAGAUCCUGGAAAGCAACACCUAGAAGAAAUCCAGUCUUGUCAUAGUGAAUCAUAUACUCUCUUAUUUGGGGCCAAUCCUUUGAAUCGACCGAAACUUGAUGCCAGCAAAUUAGCUGAUCAUCCAAUGAAGAAUUUUG